CCCCCCUUCUGUAAAUGACAACGCAUUAGAUUGUGGGCUCUUCCUUUGAAGCCUACUGAGGUUUUAUCGCCAUCUUCGAGGGACUUUCGAUUUAACACCGUUACUUUGUGGCCGCUGUUUGUGAUUUUUAAAGAUGGCGACAAAUAUUGCGUCUCAUGACGUCAGGAACAUCGUCCACAUCCCCGAGGAAGGGUCGAGCGUUGACGUUGAGAUGUCGGACACCGAUGGAAUGGAGGUGGAUGACAACGUUCCACGUGACGGUGAUAUACCCAGGUUUUCCCUCCUAAAAGAGUUUUCCUGUACUGUUGAGGGUGUAAAGGGUGACGAGGUGCGUCCAGACAUCAGGUCGGUGUUGGUACUGAAAUCAGGUGUCAUAUUGGCCGCGGAUUGGGCCAAUUGCUGUCUGAAGGCUUUCAGCGAAGAAGGAACUUUUCUAGGGGAUCAUUACUUCGAUAAAAUCGGCAAAGACGCUGGUCGGAUACAAGGAAUUUGCCGUAAGGACGAAGACACGGUCCUUGUCACGCUGCCCUCUUUGAGAAAGAUCGCCACGAUCACUGUUAAGUUACGGGGAGGCAUAGUGAAGUUUUUGACAGUAAUGCAUACGACCAAAAGGGAGAUAUUUCGGCAUCGCGCAUCUAUCUGAGGUCAAACAAAUCCUGGCCGGGACAACAGAUACCGUGGACAUUUUAGGCUACAAUUGUUGUUGCAUUGCAUCGUUCAAAGACAGGUUUGAGAACCCUUAUAACAUGGCGACCGAGUCCCCCAGCUCGGUGGUAGUGUCCGACACGCGACGGAACUGUUUGUUCCGUAUACAUGCAGACCAACGAGUAAAGAGAAUACCUGUGGCUGAUCCGACACUUCGGCUCAGAGGGGUCACCGUGGAUGGCAAUGGAAAUGUAUUUUUCUGCGGACUGAAGAACGAAGGAAUCGGAUGGGUGAACAGCCUUGAUGUGAGCAUGGGCGACGUGAUGCCUGACGGGUCAAGUCUCCGGGAUGGUGUGGGGAUCUCCUUCCAGAAGACUGUCCACGGCCGACGGUUGGCUGUGUCGGUCAGCAAGGGCAGCGUGAUGGUCUACAGGGUCACCUAUGAGGCUUAGAGACAGAAUAAACACCUAAACACUGCCAUGUACUCAUUAAAAAUAGAUGUUCAUUUGAA
rnacentral:misc_RNA from 1 species